UACGUAGGGUGCGAGCGUUGUCCGGAAUUAUUGGGCGUAAAGGGCUCGUAGGCGGUUUGUCGCGUCGGGGAGUGAAAACACCGGGCUUAACUCGGUGCUUGCUUUCGAUACGGGCAGACUAGAGGUAUGCAGGGGAGAACGGAAUUCCUGGUGUAGCGGUGAAAUGCGCAGAUAUCAGGAGGAACACCGGUGGCGAAGGCGGUUCUCUGGGCAUUACCUGACGCUGAGGAGCGAAAGUGUGGGGAGCGAACAGG
rnacentral:rRNA from 1 species